rnacentral:lncRNA from 1 species
GCGAUUUCACAUGAACACCUGAUCAAGUUUCAGUUUAUUUGAAGGCAAAAAGUCAGCACGAAACCCGAUUUGAAUUCAAAUUCAACUUAAAAUAAAUAAAUAAUUUUGAAAAAUAUUAUAUGUAUAUAGUUAUAAAUUAUAGCAUUAAAGUUUCAGAUUUGAGUUAUAUUCAAGUUAUGAAUACUCGAAACCUGAUAAGAUCGGGUUUAAAUUUCAAAAAUUCAUACAUGUUUGGAUUUGGAUUGAAUUUGGAUAAUUAUUUGAAUUCGGACAUGAAUAAUACAAUACUUAACCCUUUAGUAUCCAUUUUCAUCCCUGAUAAGAAAUUUCUAGCCUUUUGAUUCCUACUACGUACUUUCCUCCAUGACUAAUUUUUUCCUAAUUGUUUUUCUAACCACACAUAAUAUAAGUGGAACAAAAAUCAAAAACCAUAUCCACACUACUUACUAAGUAAUUUCACAACCUCAACUUUUAACUGUUUAUUUAACUUCAAUUUUGAUUAAGAAUAAAUUAUAACUGUGUGAAAUAAUGUUAGAAUUGGUUUAUAAAAUAUUUAGUGGGUAUUUUAAAGUCAAAUUAUAUGUGAAGUUUACUCAAAUUUAAGGUUAAAAUCAUAAUGAAUUUUGUUAUCAAACAUGAGUAAUUUAACAUUAAAUAUUAAAAUUAUUUAAAAAUUCCAAUUAAAGAUGAAUGGAAAAUUAUUCUUAAAGAACUUUUGGAUAAUAAAAUUUCAAACCCAAAAUAGCUUUAUGAAUUGGAUAAUGAGCCUAUGGGCUCACGAGUGUAAUUUUUUUUAGUCCAUAAUACAUGAACCAAUAUAUUAAUUACAUAAUGAGAAUGAAUUUUAUUAUGAGUAAAUCAUAAACUAUAAACAUUCAUGAAUUCUUUUAUGAAUUAUGGACAUCCAUCAUAAACUAUAAACAUUCAUGAAUUCUUUUAUGAAUUAUGGACAUCCAUAAAUUAUGAAGAUUCAUGAACUAUGAGUGUUAAAAAUUUUAGUUUUUAAGUCCUAUAAAUAGUUGUCUUGGAUGAGUGAUAAAUAAUCAAAGAAUUUUCUUGAGUUUUUUUUUUCUUUCUAUGUUGUUGAUUUUUUAAAAAACUUGUUAUUUUAUUUUAUUUUUUUAUUUUGAAGCUUAGAUUCGGUAUGUGUAGAGAUAAGUAAUAUUAUUCCAGAUUUGAUAUCUUUUAAGAAUUUCAACAAGAAAGUACUCAAGUUGAUUGCGUAAUAGUUUUUCAUCCACUAUAGCUAGAAGAUUGUAAUGCAUGAAUUUAAUUUCUAUGCAAAACGACAUGUUCCGAGUAAAAGUUGAAUUAGUCGUUCCUUCAUUUUCCUUUGAUGCCUUUACCGGAUGAAACUUACCCUUUUUUAUGCGGGAAAAACUCUCGUUUUCUCACAAAAUGCGCUUGAAGAAAUCGCACAAUUUAAUUAAUUAGGUUAAAUCACAUGGUAUUUUCCGUUAUAAGCAUCGUUUUCCUUAAUAAAAAAAAAAAUCAUACCUCACCAUAUAUAAUAGACAUAAAGUGUCCUGAAGUAUGAUAGACAUACGAAGAUUUGUUUACCAACUUGUAUUUUCUAAUACAUUUAUUUGUUUAAUAUAUUCGUGGUGGGCAAAAAAUAUCCAAACAAGAAGAUUAAUCAUACAUGCAUUCAUUAAAAAAGGUUAAUUGCAUAGAUAUCAAUCAUCAAAUCAAUGCACUAACCUUCUUGUUUUCAGGGGCAAAACAUAUUCAAUUGAAAACCAUAAUGAAAGCAGUAAAGCUUGACCCAAUAUGUUAGGCAGAAUUCAGGAAAACCUGCUCAGCACUUAUGACAAUUUAGCAUAAGCCAACAAUCUUUCUAGGACGUGCCCGCAGUAAAACAUUAAGGAUUAAGUAACAUUAUCUCUACAGGCCCUUCAUCUUCUAGCUAGGAUGCUUGACUUGGUCAGAAACUCAAGCCAACAAUCCAAACUGUGGUUGAAGAACUUCCACAGCAAGACCCAAACUGUGGUUAAUGCAUGGGAAAAGAGUACAGGUUCUUCAUUGUACGUUUUAGCUAGGCAGCUGAAUAUGGGAUGCUCCUAAUUUAAUAUCAAAACAAGAGGCAAGGACAUGAUAAACCAUGUGUUAAUUAAUUAGCUAACGGGUUAUCAUUAAUAAUAUAUAUGAUUUCAUUUAACAAUAUAGAAUAGUGAUGUUUCCAUCUCUCACGGGGGAAGAAGCAAACAACUACACGGAUUUUGAUUAAAAUAAAAUAAAAUCUUGAAGCAAAUGGGAUAAAAAUAAUUUGGAUUGUGUAAGUAAAUAUAAUGAUCCUCCUCCAAUUUUUUUUAAACAAUGCUUCCUAGCAAUUCAACAAUGACACACAUAUUCUAUUAAGAAAAAUAUUAUUGGAAUAGUUAAAAUAUUCUCGUAUUUUAUAUAACGUUGGAGUUAAUUUUUUACCGUCUAAAUCAUAGAUUGGCCAUUACUUCUGAUUAUUGCUUUCAUAAAAAAUAAUUAAUGACUUUUACCUCUAAAUGAUGGGUUUUCGGGUUGACUAGAUGCUUCCUCUCGUGCUCCAUGCCACACAACAACUUCAAAUUUUAUAAUGCUUCAGCUACUGGAAGCUUAAUAAAAUUUGCAGACAGCGGCUGAUGAUCCAAGAAAAUAACUAAAUAACGCUAGGUUAUGCAAUUAACUAAGCAUUUUGUUUUUCGAAAAAAAGAAAAGAAAGAAAGAAAACCAGUAGGCCUCCAACGGUGGGUACGGAGCACGUGUUCG